CCUCAUCUGGCAAUUUCGAUUAAGGUCACUAGCCUUUAUAUAUAUAAAUUUUUUUUUAUCUAUUUAUUCUCUUCCAUACUUUUAUCGAAGGUUAACUUCAUAUUGUUCGUCGUCUGAAAGAUCGAUAUCAUUCAAAAUGGGGCUUUCACGGGAUGAAAAUUUCAAUUUACGAUACGACAAAUAUUUACAUAUGUAUAUAAAAUAAUUUUUAUACAGUUGUGAUUACUACAUUCUCUAGAUUGCGUAAGAGGCAUUUUUAUUUGAUAUUCCGUCUUUAAUUUUUUUUUUUUUUUUUUUACGACACAGACAAUUUCUUCGGAUUCUAUAACUGUUUAUCUUUAUUGCAAAUUAGCAAUAUCUGUUAUAGGAAAAGCUAAGUAGAAUGGCAAUUACCUAAUGAUAAGUGCCUUCAACACGCCGACUUUAAGACGCUAGUGCCUUUUGUUGUAACGAAAACAAAUAAUAAAGAAAAGUUAUCCGAAGACCUUGGCUGGAUAUACAGCUACAUCCCAUUUAUCCAAUAAUUCCAACAACACCGUUUUGCUUAUAAUAGGGAUACCUCUUAGAAGGUCACAUACCUGCUUAGCCUAUAGUCAAUUGCCAACUUAUGGCUGUCGAUUCCAAUUAAGACACGAAUGAAUGUCGACAUUUUCCAUCGUACGAAAUCAUGUUUAAUAGACUUCAAGUAUCAUUAAACCAGAGAAUAUUAUCGUUAAAAUAGCUAACAGUAGAGAACAGAAACAAAAAAGUUAUUACACACAGUAAACGUCAUAGAAUCGUUAGAUUAGAUUAUAAAUUCAGAGAAGUGAAUAAUGUAAAAAUUCUUUUGUACAACGCUGUAGAAAUGAUCAUCAUGGAUAUACGUCGUUUCAGAUUAAAUUUGAGAUGGACUACACAAAUCAAGACCAAGAACCAGGAAGAAUGAUACCUUUGGACACAAUUAAGAGGGAGAAAAUAGGCAACGAUGAUUCUUGUGUUCCAGUGGCUCCUUCCAGAUCUUUGGGUUCCAUGCAAAAAGUACCAUCAAUGAGUGAUUUAUCGGAAGAAAGUUCUUUGGAUCUCCCAACUCAGGUGCCACCAUUGACUCCAGGGACCAAUCAAAAAAUGACGC
rnacentral:lncRNA from 1 species